GGUCCUGCCUGCCCAGUGACUAUAUGUUUAACGGCCGCGGUACUUUGACCGUGCGAAGGUAGCGCAAUCACUUGUCUUUUAAAUGAAGACCUGUAUGAAUGGCACGACGAGGGCUUAACUGUCUCCUUUUUCCAGUCAAUGAAAUUGAUCUUCCCGUGCAGAAGCGGGAAUAAUAUCAUAAGACGAGAAGACCCUGUGGAGCUUUAGACACUAAAUCAGCCCUUGUCCAAGAAUCCCAAUUAAAGGAAUGAACACUAGAGUGAGACCUGAUCUAAUGUCUUCGGUUGGGGCGACCUUGGGGAAAGAAAAAUCCCCCAUGCGGAACGGAAAUACCAUAUUUCUAAAACUAAGAGAGACCACUCAAAGUAUCAAAAAUUUUGACCAACUAUAUGAUCCGGCUUAACGCCGAUCAACGGACCAAGUUACCCCAGGGAUAACAGCGCAAUCCUCUUUUAGAGCCCAUAUCGACAAGAGGGUUUACGACCUCGAUGUUGGAUCAGGACAUCCUAAUGGUGCAGCCGCUAUUAAGGGUUCGUUUGUUCAACGAUUAAAGUCCUACGUGAUC
rnacentral:rRNA from 1 species